rnacentral:RNase_P_RNA from 2 species
GAAACUGACCGGUCUGCCGCUGUCCUUUUCAGGGCGGAGGAAAGUCCGGGCAACAGAGAGCAUUCCACUUCCUAACAGGAAGCAGUCGGUGACGACUGAGCAGUGCAGAAGAAAAUAACCGCCUUAAAAGGUAAGGGUGAGAAGGUGGGGUAAGAGCCUACCAGGUCUGUGGUGACACAGAUGCUGUGUACAUUGGAGGUUGCAAGUUCAUGUAAACCGGCGUCAGAGGGCUGCUCGCCCAAGCCGGAGGGUAGAACGCGCGUAGCCUUAAGGCUGCGGAGCCUGUCGGUGACGGCAGGUCAAGAUUAAUGGCAGACACUGCCGGUAUUUAUCCGGCAGCACAGAACCCGGCUUACAGGUCAGUUUUUUUU